rnacentral:rRNA from 2 species
UCCGGCCGGGAACUCAAAGGAGACUGCCAGUGAUAAACUGGAGGAAGGUGGGGAUGACGUCAAGUCAUCAUGGCCCUUACGACCAGGGCUACACACGUGCUACAAUGGCGCAUACAAAGAGAAGCGACCUCGCGAGAGCAAGCGGACCUCAUAAAGUGCGUCGUAGUCCGGAUUGGAGUCUGCAACUCGACUCCAUGAAGUCGGAAUCGCUAGUAAUCGUGGAUCAGAAUGCCACGGUGAAUACGUUCCCGGGCCUUGUACACACCGCCCGUCACACCAUGGGAGUGGGUUGCAAAAGAAGUAGGUAGCUUAACCUUCGGGAGGGCGCUUACCACUUUGUGAUUCAUGACUGGGGUGAAGUCGUAACAAGGUAACCGUAGGGGAACCUGCGGUUGGAUCAC